ensembl:lncRNA
CAGCACUCCGAAAGCUGAAUUAAAUUCAGCCUGGAUAAUGUACAAAUACUGCAACCUAAUGCUUUUUAAAAGUCAGUCCCUGAAGAUCAUACAUACAGAUGGGUUUCUGUUCAAUACGUGUAUCUGUGCGUGCACCUCUCAUGCCAAUAUAAGGAUUUUAGUGAGGAUCCAGUUAACAGACGUAUGUUGGCACAUUAUUCCUGAAGCAGUUCUUCCAUUACGUAAUGGGGCUGCCUAGACAUAACCAAAACAGCUCUCCUCAGACUUGUUGGACAAAGGGAUCACAGCCAGCCCUUACCCUCUGCUGGAGGUGCUGCAGAGAGACAAAAGAACAGCCUGAUGUGUGCAGAGGAUCCAUGUACCACCCACAGAGCCACAGCAAGAUGGAGCCAUGGAAAGAUGCUUUGCUGGAGCCCAGGAGUCAGGGCGGGCCGGGGGAGCCAGGGGAUGUGCACAGGACUGGAACUGCUCUACAAACACAGGCCGGCUGGGACACAGCAUCUCAAGCAAAAAAGAAAUGGCCUUUCCAGCCUCCCCUGCUCCCAAAAGAAUAUGUUUCAUCCCCCCCAGCAGCACUGGUGCCUGCAGGGUCUGGGAGAAGGAACCUGAUGAUCACGCCACUGCUGGGGUCAGUAGUAUGUUACACUGCCUACAUUUUCUUUUGAACUCUCAAAAAUGUGUUUUGCCUUCCCAUUGGCAGUAUUCCUAAAACACUGACGAGACUGCAAAUACUAACCACUUCAUGGCUCCAGUCUAUAUGAGUUAGAUGGGUUUUUCUGUGAGUUUCCCAUGAAAUUUUUGUAAAGGGUGUGUAAGAAAUGCCUGAUCCAAUGAAGAAAAUAGCAACUGAUACAUUUGUGUUCCAGCGUAUACAUACAGAGUUUAAUUUAGCAUAGAGAAGCAACUAAGAAUCAAGCAUUGUUAUGGUAAAACACUUCCUUUCAUCUAGAGUUAUAUGUGAUCCUGUAAUAAAUUCAAAUGUGCAUGAUUGUGUUUUUAGAAAGUGAAAAUUUAACAGUGGGGCUAGUACUGAGCUCCACUCUGCCAUUCUCUCAGUAAAUUUGAGUUUGUGUAACAUGGGUAUUCAGAAGUAAAACCUGCAUGAAAUCUUCCAAUUGUGAAUGCCUUUUCCUUGUAAGAAUUUGCAGUGAAUCUCUGGAAACUUGCUAAGUCCCCAGGGGGAUAAGAAUUCACAGAUCUAACUAACCCUGAGGGUCAUGUUAUCACACAGAUUAACUAUUCUCAACCAAUUUCUGAAACGCAUUAAGCAGUUAAGGCUUUCUAUCAACAUUAGUAAUGUGUACUUUCUUUUUCUACCUAUUUGUCCUUAAAUAUAUUUAUUAGGUCCCUGAUACUCAGGGGCCCUCCUUCCUCUUAUUAAUCAGCUUCUCACAUGUCCCUGAAGAAGCACCUCUAUUUCACAUGUUCAGCUAAUUAUUCUUCUAAUUAUUCCUUUUAAAGGAGUCAGUACACUGUACUACAAGUAUUAAUACAUAGUGUUACUCCAUGACAUUGUAUUUGGAAAAAUAGUAUCAAUAAGUAUAUUUUUUCCAAUCCAAACAAAGUUCUAAAUUUUGUUGAAUAAAACAAGGGGUGUAACAUUUCCCAGAAGCUAUGUUAUAGAUUUGAUAAAUAAAGCCAGGUUUCUGUAGGAAGUCACUGAGAGUCAGAUUCAUCAGAAUGAGGAAUUUUAUAAUAUCUCUGUCUCGGAUAAGGCCUCUCCUGCUUAAACUGAUAUAUACCAUGGACAAUGGUUAUAUAUGAAGGUGGCCAGGACACUUGGGGCCAAACCCAUUAUCUACAUAUUUUUGUGAGAGUAAAGCCUCACAAAAGGAUUGUCCAUGAACAGAACACUGGAGGAGGCUCCCUCAGUCAUUGAGUCCCAUCUCCUGUUCAUACAGGACCAUGUCAUGAAAUGUCCAAAUUAUCUGUCAAACUGAUCUGAUGAAAGCAAAUAAGGGCUUGUUUUGAGGUUGGGCUGGGUGUUUUUGGUUGGAUGGUCUGGGUAUUUGUUCUGUCCCAAAGCCUUCCUAUUCUGAUGGUUCAGGACUUUAAUUCCCAGGUAUUCCUGGUUCACUUACAUCCACUUCUUCUUAUGCCAACACUGUCCUAUAAUUUCUAGCCUGUAAAGG